CACCCGCCACGUGGCACUUAUUGCUCGUUCGUCGUUCCCUUCAUGCAGCUGGAGCGCAGUCGUAGUCUCCGUCGUCGUCGUCGUCCCCGUCGCCACGAACCAUCUCCAAACGCUCCUCCACGUGCUCCUCACGUGCGCGCCCCAUUUCCUUCUCCGCGGAGGGGGAGCUCGUCCUCAUCGGGGCCAUUGCUGCGACGCUUAACGCGGAGAGAGGUGGGUGGAAAAGGAGUGGAGAUCGAUCCUUUCCCUUUUCUUUUGUUGCUGUG
rnacentral:lncRNA from 1 species